AACGCUGGCGGCGUGCCUAAUACAUGCAAGUCGAGCGAACAGAUGAGAAGCUUGCUUCUCUGAUGUUAGCGGCGGACGGGUGAGUAACACGUGGGUAACCUACCUAUAAGACUGGGAUAACUCCGGGAAACCGGGGCUAAUACCGGAUAAUAUUUUGAACCGCAUGGUUCAAUAGUGAAAGACGGUUUCGGCUGUCACUUAUAGAUGGACCCGCGCCGUAUUAGCUAGUUGGUAAGGUAAUGGCUUACCAAGGCGACGAUACGUAGCCGACCUGAGAGGGUGAUCGGCCACACUGGAACUGAGACACGGUCCAGACUCCUACGGGAGGCAGCAGUAGGGAAUCUUCCGCAAUGGGCGAAAGCCUGACGGAGCAACGCCGCGUGAGUGAUGAAGGUCUUCGGAUCGUAAAACUCUGUUGUUAGGGAAGAACAAAUUUGUUAGUAACUGAACAAGUCUUGACGGUACCUAACCAGAAAGCCACGGCUAACUACGUGCCAGCAGCCGCGGUAAUACGUAGGUGGCAAGCGUUAUCCGGAAUUAUUGGGCGUAAAGCGCGCGUAGGCGGUUUCUUAAGUCUGAUGUGAAAGCCCACGGCUCAACCGUGGAGGGUCAUUGGAAACUGGGAAACUUGAGUGCAGAAGAGGAGAGUGGAAUUCCAUGUGUAGCGGUGAAAUGCGCAGAGAUAUGGAGGAACACCAGUGGCGAAGGCGGCUCUCUGGUCUGUAACUGACGCUGAUGUGCGAAAGCGUGGGGAUCAAACAGGAUUAGAUACCCUGGUAGUCCACGCCGUAAACGAUGAGUGCUAAGUGUUAGGGGGUUUCCGCCCCUUAGUGCUGCAGCUAACGCAUUAAGCACUCCGCCUGGGGAGUACGACCGCAAGGUUG
rnacentral:rRNA from 1 species